UACGUAGGGGGCAAGCGUUAUCCGGAUUUACUGGGUGUAAAGGGAGCGCAGACGGCAAUGCAAGUCUGAUGUGAAACUCUGGGGCUUAACCCCAGACCUGCAUUGGAAACUGUAUAGCUUGAGUAUCGGAGAGGUGAGCGGAAUUCCUGGUGUAGCGGUGAAAUGCGCAGAUAUCAGGAAGAACACCGGCGGCGAAGGCGGCUCACUGGACGACAACUGACGUUGAGGCUCGAAAGCGUGGGUAG
rnacentral:rRNA from 1 species